rnacentral:tRNA from 1 species
UCCCGUGUGGCUCAGUUGGUAGAGCAUGGUGUUUGCAACGCCAGGGUUGUGGGUUCGUCUUCCCACGGGGC